rnacentral:misc_RNA from 1 species
UACGUAGGGCGCAAGCGUUAUCCGGAAUUAUUGGGCGUAAAGAGCUCGUAGGCGGAUAGUCGCGUCUGCAGUGAAAGUCCGGGGCUCAACUCCGGAUCUGCGGUGGGUACGGGCAGACUAGAGUGAUGUAGGGGAGACUGGAAAUCCAGGUGUAGCGGUGAAAUGCGCAGAUAUCGGGAGGAACACCGAUGGCGAAGGCAGGUCUCUGGGCAUUAACUGACGCUGAGGAGCGAAAGCAUGGGGAGCGAACAGG